rnacentral:tRNA from 1 species
GUCGUCGUAGUGGAAGCCACCGCGACGCCGCUGGUGUCGGCGAUCGCUUCUGGCGAUGGCAUCACCGCGGCGGCC